rnacentral:misc_RNA from 1 species
AAGUCGUAACAAGGUUUCCGUAGGUGAACCUGCGGAAGGAUCAUUAACACGUAUCCACGUACCAACCCCUAGUGUCACUGUUGAGCGCGAGCCGGUCAAACUUUUAGUUGACCGUAUGCUGCAAAUCAAUUCGUUUUGAUUUGUUGCGCGUGCUCAGUUUUCUCUCUUUUCCAUUGAAUUUAACCACUUGAACCCAUCAGACUAAAACCAUUUCGAGUUUUGCUUGCAAAACCGAAACAAUAAAAUAACAAGAAACAACUCUUAGCGACGGAUUUCUUGGCUCCC